rnacentral:rRNA from 1 species
CCUACGGGGCGCAGCAGUGAGGAAUAUUGGUCAUUGGGCGGAAGCCUGAACCAGCCAAGUAGCGUGCAGGAUGACGGCCCUACGGGUUGUAAACUGCUUUUUUACGGGAACAACGCGCCUUACGUGUAGGGCUUUGCAUGUACCGUAUGAAUAAGGACCGGCUAAUUCCGUGCCAGCAGCCGCGGUAAUUAGGCGGGUCCGGGCGUUAUCCGGAUUUAUUGGGUUUAAAGGGAGCGUAGGCCGCAUGUCAAGCGAGCGGUGAAAUGUCCGGGCUCAACCCGGGCCUUGCAGCGCGAACUGGCGUGCGUGAGUCCGCGGAAAGCAGGCGGAAUUCGUCGUGUAGCGGUGAAAUGCUUAGAUAUGACGAAGAACCCCGAUUGCGAAGGCAGCUUGCUGCAGCGGAACUGACGCUGAUGCUCGAAAGCGCGGGUAUCGAACAGGAUUAGAUACCCCAGUAGUC